rnacentral:rRNA from 1 species
UAAUCUGCCUAUCAGAGGGGAAUAACAGUGAGAAAUCAUUGCUAAUACCGCAUAUACUAAUUUUAUUGCAUGAUAGAAUUGGGAAGGGAGCAAUCCGCUGACAGAUGGGCUUGCGUCUGAUUAGUUAGUUGGCAGGGUAAAGGCCUACCAAGACGAUGAUCAGUAGCCGGACUGAGAGGUUGAACGGCCACAUUGGGACUGAGAUACGGCCCAGACUCCUACGGGAGGCAGCAG